rnacentral:tRNA from 1 species
ACCUGGUUGGCUCAUUCAGUGGAGCAUGUGACUCUUGAUCUUGGGGUUAUGAGUUCAAGUCUUAUGUUGGGUA